GGAGAUAUAGCUCAGUGGUAGAGCGUUCGACUGCAGAUCGAAGGGUCUCCGGUUCAAAUCCGGAUGUCUCCU